GGCACAGUGUCCUAGUAAUGCCGGGUUAGCGCGUUGGACUCUGGAUCGAGCAGUCCAGGUUCGAGCCCUGGCUGGGGUCA